rnacentral:rRNA from 1 species
GUCUAGAAAUUUGGGCAAUGGGCGAAAGCCUGACCCAGCGACACCGCGUGGAGGAUGAAGUCUUUCGGGAUGUAAACUCCUGACAGGCGGAGCGAUGCCGUUUCGGAGUAACUGCCGUAACGGUGACGGUACUGCCAAAGGAAGCCCCGGCUAACUACGUGCCAGCAGCCGCGGUAAUACGUAGGGGGCAAGCGCUGUCCGGAUUUACUGGGCGUAAAGGGUGUGCAGGCGGUCUGGCGUGUCGGUGGUGAAAGCCCUCGGCUUAACCGAGGAAGUGCUGCCGAAACUACCAGACUUGAGGACGGAAGAGGAAACUGGAACUUCUGGUGUAGCGGUAAAAUGCGUAGAUAUCAGAAGGAACGCCGAUAGCGAAGGCAGGUUUCUGGGACGUUCCUGACGCUGAAACACGAAAGCUAGGGGAGCAAACAGGAUUAGAUACCCGAGUAGUCC